GGGUUCAUGGCAGAGCGGUCUAUUGCAUUCGUCUUGAAAACGAAAGCUAUCUAAUCGAUAGCCGUAGGUUCAAAUCCUACUGAGCCCG
rfam:Wallemia ichthyophaga EXF-994 unplaced genomic scaffold scaffold27, whole genome shotgun sequence.